rnacentral:lncRNA from 1 species
AUGCAAGUUCCUCUCCUGUGUGCUCUGACGGUGAAAAAUUCACAGAUGUUUUAUGGGAAGCUUAGAAAAUUGAAAGGUGCCGCUUCCUGGUCUAGGAAGCUGCCUCCAUCACCUGGGGGUGUGUGCAGCCGUGCUGAGCCUGAGUUCCAGGGUGGACAAGGGGAGGCCUUCUCGUCCAGCCCCCACCUGCAGGCCCAGCUGGGUGGGCCCCUCUGUGGGUGUCAGUGGUCCCUGCGCCUCCAGCCUCCUCGCUCAACCCCCAUCUCUCAGUGCUUGUCUCUGUCUGACUCAGUUUCCCUCCCCAUUCCGAGCUGUUCCUGCUGUGUGCCUGCUCCCGGGCCACCUGCUAGCCCCAGGGUCAUCACCUCUGGACUCCAAGGGACCCCAGGAGCGUCGGGAUUCGGAGAAGCGAGCUCUACCUGGACACACAUCCACCCCAGUCCUGCCCAUAAGUGUCUCUGCCCAGCUCGUGAGCUUCCUGAGGGCGGAGACCUCGUCCUCUCUGGGUGCCAGGGCUCCAUACGGUCCUGGCCCCAGGGUGCCUGUUAAACUGACAUGAAAUGAAUGUCCCUGAGCUCGUACCCAUAGGACAGGACUCUAAAUAUCAUCGGAUCACAUCAUGAGAAAGCGAUGGCCUUUUCUACUCCGUGCCAGUCUUUCUCAUGACAUCAAGGAGAACAUCUUGGGCUGGCGCCAGGAUGUCUUGACGCCUCCCCGCCCUCGCCCAUCCGCACCCAGAGCCAAGAACAGGCGGUCUAGGGCCCAGACCUAGCAGACCAGUGUACCAGCAAGAGUAAGAGCAUUGCUUCAUUUUAGAAUCACCUUCAAUUCUGAGCAAGCGGUGCUGGUUUCCCGCUUCUAACAGCAAUGUAAAGUUUCUUUUAAAUGUGUUUCAAAUUUUAAAACAAUUUCAGACUUAGAGAAAAGUUGCAAAAGUCAUACAAAGAAUUCCUGGAUAUCCUUUAUCCAGAUUCCCCAGUAUUAACAUUUUACUACUUUCUCUCUCUCUCUCUUUUUCUCCCCACUACCUACCUACACACACACACACACGCACACGCACACGCACACAUGCACAGAGAUUAUUUUUUUCUGAACCAUCUAAAAACAGGUUUUCUUGGGGCCAGCCCGGUGAUGGAGUGGUCAGGUUGCCCACUCUACUUUGGUGGCCUGGGGUUUGCAGGUUCGGCUCCCUCAUGUGGACCUGCACACAGCUCAUCAAGCCACGCCGUGGUGGCCUCUCACAUACAAAAUAGAGGAAGAUGGGCACGGAUGUUAGCUCAGGGCCAAUCUUCCUCACCCAAAAAAAAAAAUCAAUACUUCAGUGUAUAUUUCCUAAAAGCAGGAACAUUUUCUUACAUAACUGCAGUACGCUUGUCAAAAUCAGGGAUUUGACACAGACACAGUACUGUUACCUAAUCUGGAGACCUCAUCCUGAUUUCACCCUCCAUCCCAGUAAAACCCCAGCUCACACUUUGCAUUCGGUUGCCAUGUCUCUUUAGCUCCUUUAACUGGAAACAGUUCUCGAGUCUUGGUAUUUUGCCAUCUUAGCAUUUUUGAAAAGCGCGUGCCAGAUAUUUUGUAAAAUGGCUGAAAAGUCCUUUAAAAAUAAAGUUUUGAAAAAACGUGAAUCCA